CAUUCUAGAGACAGCCCCUGUCUAGCUCUCUCGGUGGGAGCCACUAAAGAGAAUAAGAGGUUCUCCUGCUGUAUCCUGACUUUCUGAGGCUCUGACCUCAGGAAAGCCCGGCAUGAGAGCCUUUUCCAUUGCUGCAGACUUUUUGGUUCAGCACUCACUUCUGGCACCUCUGAUCAUUUGGCAGGAAGUACCCAAAGUGAUGGCCAGGCAGGGCCCUAAUGUCUGAUGAUCUGACUGCAGGGCAUCAUUUUUGCAGAGCUCCAUGUGGGAGAUCAGUGAGGAACUGGUUGAUGGGUUCAACUCCUCCAUCUUCCUAGACAAGGGUAUGAAAAUGAGUUAACCCUGUACCUGGGCAAGAUCUGCGAAAUGUGGACCCUCCAGUUCCUGGACUGGGUAUUCAAUAGGUGGGAGCCUGUCCCUUCCACAGCACAGUGGGGACUCUGCCACCAGUUAGCUGUGUGUCUCGGGAAUUUUGCUGCACCUCUCUGAGCCUCAGUUUGCUCCUCUGAGAAUAAAGAUACACAUGCAUCCUGCUGUGUUUUAACAGGGAGGAGGGACCUCAGGAUCAACUAAAAAUGUAGCCCUUCAGAGCAAGAGUCACUGGCAAGACCUGGCCCAUGCAGGUUCUGUGCCUGCCCUGCCUGAAGACCAGGGCUGUCUCUGCCAGGACAGUCACAGAGGGGUUGGGUGGGGCCAUCUCUGGACAGACAGGGCAGCCACAGGGGUCCACAUCUAAACAAGGGUACCCUAGAAGAACAAUGUGGAAGGAAAGGCCAGGCAUCUGACUCUGCUGUCCCCCACCCCCCACCCCCUACACUCUGUCUUCCAUCUUGGGCACCUGGCCAGAAAAGUACCCUGAGGGCACUCCGGGAAAGAAGCCUGCUCCAGUGACAGCCCGACAUAGAGUCAGUCCAGAGCCCUCCUGCCCCUAGUCUGGGACCAUACAGAACUGGCCCGGUGAGGAGGUCCCCAACCUCUUGGGGGGGUUCCCUCCUAUGCUGGUGGCAGAGCAAUGGACUCUGAUGGAUGCAAUGAGUGCUAGGCUCUCAAGGCAGAGUGGGGACAACCUCCCCUCUGGGACCUUUCCCUGAGCCUCAGUUGGAUGAUAUGGGCCCAAUCCCAGCUCCAACUCUUACCAACCAUGUGACCUGGACUAGAUUCUUAACCUCCAGGCCUUCACUGUUCACAUGUGCAGGGCAGAGAUGGGACAUAACAGCACCUGCUGCACACAGUGACUGCAGAAUGAGAGCAGAGAGGGAAGGCAGGGCAGGGCCUGGCCCCUUUAUAGGUGGAGAGUGCUCACUGAGGAGCACCCAGGUGCAUGGGU